rnacentral:rRNA from 1 species
GAUGAACGCUGGCGGCGUGCUUAACACAUGCAAGUCGAACGGAAAGGCUCCUGCUUGCAGGGGUACUCGAGUGGCGAACGGGUGAGUAACACGUGGGUGAUCUGCCCUGCACUUCGGGAUAAGCCUGGGAAACUGGGUCUAAUACCGGAUAGGACGAUGGUUUGGAUGCCAUUGUGGAAAGUUUUUCGGUGUGGGAUGAGCUCGCGGCCUAUCAGCUUGUUGGUGGGGUAAUGGCCUACCAAGGCGUCGACGGGUAGCCGGCCUGAGAGGGUGUACGGCCACAUUGGGACUGAGAUACGGCCCAGACUCCUACGGGAGGCAGCAGUGGGGAAUAUUGCACAAUGGGCGCAAGCCGGAUGCAGCGACGCCGCGUGGGGGAUGACGGCCUUCGGGUUGUAAACUCCUUUCGCUAGGGACGAAGCGCAAGUGACGGUACCUGGAGAAGAAGCACCGGCUAACUACGU